CGGACGGGUGAGUAAUGUCUGGGAAACUGCCCGAUGGAGGGGGAUAACUACUAGAAACGGUAGCUAAUACCGCAUAACGUCGCAAGACCAAAGAGGGGGACCUUCGGGCCUCUUGCCAUCGGAUGUGCCCAGAUGGGAUUAGCUAGUAGGUGGGGUAAAGGCACACCUAGGCGACGAUCCCUAGCUGGUCUGAGAGGAUGACCAGCCACACUGGAACUGAGACACGGUCCAG
rnacentral:rRNA from 1 species